rnacentral:rRNA from 1 species
CACGUAGGGUGCAAGCGUUGUCCGGAAUUACUGGGCGUAAAGGGCUCGUAGGCGGCCCACUAAGUCGGAUGUGAAAUCCCCAGGCUUAACCUGGGAACUGCAUCCGAUACUGGAUGGCUUGAAUCCGGGAGAGGGAUGCAGAAUUCCAGGUGUAGCGGUGAAAUGCGUAGAUAUCUGGAGGAAUACCGGUGGCGAAGGCGGCAGCCUGGACCGGCAGUGACGCUGAUGAGCGAAAGCUAGGGGAGCAAACGGG